UACGUAGGGGGCGAGCGUUGUCCGGAAUCAUUGGGCGUAAAGAGCUCGUAGGCGGCUUGGCAAGUCGGAUGUGAAAACUCCAGGCUCAACCUGGAGCCGCCAUUCGAUACUGCUAUGGCUAGAGUCCGGUAGGGGAGUGUGGAAUUCCCGGUGUAGCGGUGAAAUGCGCAGAUAUCGGGAAGAACACCCGUGGCGAAGGCGGCUCUCUGGGACGGUACUGACGCUGAGACGCGAAAGCGUGGGGAGCGAACAGG
rnacentral:rRNA from 1 species